rnacentral:rRNA from 1 species
UUUGAUGGCGACCGCGCACGGGUGAGUAACACGUAUCCAACCUGCCGAUGACUCGGGGAUAGCCUUUCGAAAGAAAGAUUAAUACCCGAUGGCAUAGUUCUUCCGCAUGGUAGAACUAUUAAAGAAUUUCGGUCAUCGAUGGGGAUGCGUUCCAUUAGGUUGUUGGCGGGGUAACGGCCCACCAAGCCUUCGAUGGAUAGGGGUUCUGAGAGGAAGGUCCCCCCACAUUGGAACUGAGACACGGUCCAAACUCCUACGGGAGGCAGCAUG